GUGCCAGCCAACUGUGGCUGCCUGGGACACUCCAUCUUAAGUCCCUGUGCCUCUGCUGUGUGUUACUGAGUGCCUAGGCCGUGCCAGCCUGUAUUCAUCUGUACUAUGACCUGAAGAGGCAGAGGCCAUCAUUGUUGGUCUGGUCUCCACCUGGGGAAACUGAGGUUGCACAGUGUCUCUGUGGUGACGAGCAGGGCUUCAUCCAGUGCCUCUGUCCCCACCGAGGGGACUGUGGGAGCCAUGGAGGGUGUGUGAGCAACAGGUGAGACUGGAGCCAGCUGAAAACUGGGAGACCGACCCAGCCAACAAACAAUGUCGGUCUCUGUCCUGGCACCCGCAGGAAACAAGCUCCUACUUCCAGAAAAAGUGCUCCUGGGACUCCAGGAUACCAAGCAUCUGGACGCGGUGGUACAUGCCACCACUUAGGCAGGAGGAUCACUCGAGCCCAGAAGAUCAAGACUAGUGUGAGCAACAAAAUCCUUCCCUGGCACCGGUUCCAAGAGGACCUGGUUCUUAGGCAGCAUCUGUGUCUCUGUUUUGUAAGACACACAGAG
rnacentral:lncRNA from 1 species